GGGAGAAGGAGAGCGGAUCAUGGCUGAAGGGAACACUUUUGCCAACGACAUACUUACGAUUAGCCUACCAGGCUGCCACACUGGAAUUUGGACUAAGGCACAUUCACCGCUGUCGUCCUCCCAAGAUCUUCAAGAGGCCAGUGAGCAGAGUCGGCAUGCUCUCUGUCUCCCUCUUUAUGUCAGUCUUCAGCCUCCUCAUCUCGUCCCUCUGGCCCCCCAGCGUCCUCUGCCACCUCCACAGCACCGUCUCCAGCUCAUCCACCCCAGCUUAUCUUGAGGCGCAGUAUGACGCUGACCUUCUGCACCUUCUCCCUCAUGCGCUCCUCCAUGCCGCCCAUUUCCUGGUUGGUCUCCGUCUCCCGGUGGACGGUGUCCUCGCUCUCCUGGGCAUCUUGCUGCUGCUUCUGUUUCAACUCCUCUAACUUCUGCCUCUUCCGAGGCAUCGGCCACCAUCUAAAAGAGAGAGGGUUACG